rnacentral:rRNA from 1 species
AACGAACGCUGGCGGCAGGCUUAACACAUGCAAGUCGAGCGCCCCGCAAGGGGAGCGGCAGACGGGUGAGUAACGCGUGGGAACGUACCUUUUGGUUCGGAACAACUCCGGGAAACUGGAGCUAAUACCGGAUAAGCCCUAACGGGGAAAGAUUUAUCGCCGAAAGAUCGGCCCGCGUCUGAUUAGCUAGUUGGUGAGGUAACGGCUCGCCAAGGCGACGAUCAGUAGCUGGUCUGAGAGGAUGAUCAGCCACACUGGGACUGAGACACGGCCCAGACUCCUACGGGAAGCAGCAGUGGGGAAUAUUGGACAAUGGGCGCAAGCCUGAUCCAGCCAUGCCGCGUGAGUGAUGAAGGCCUUAGGGUUGUAAAGCUCUUUUGUCCGGGAAGAUAAUGACUGUACCGGAAGAAUAAGCCCCGGCUAACUUCGUG